rnacentral:rRNA from 1 species
UACGGAGGGUGCAAGCGUUAAGCGGAAUUACUGGGCGUAAAGCGUGCGUAGGUGGUUUGUUAAGUCCGUUGUGAAAGCCCCGAGCUCAACUUGGGAAUUGCAGUGGAUACUGGCAAGCUGGAGUGCGGUAGAGGAAGGUGGAAUUCCCGGUGUAGCAGUGAAAUGCGUAGAGAUCGGGAGGAACACCAGUGGCGAAGGCGGCCUUCUGGACCAAUACUGACGCUCAUGCACGAAAGCGUGGGGAGCAAACAGG